GACGAACGCUGGCGGCGUGCUUAACACAUGCACGUCGAACGGAAAGGCCUGCUUUCCCUUGUGGAUUGCGGGUACUCGAGUGGCGAACGGGUGAGUAAUAUAUCGGAACGUGCCCAGUCGUGGGGGAUAACUACUCGAAAGAGUAGCUAAUACCGCAUACGACCUGAGGGUGAAAGCGGGGGAUCGCAAGACCUCGCGCGAUUGGAGCGGCCGAUAUCAGAUUAGGUAGUUGGUGGGGUAAAAGCUCACCAAGCCAACGAUCUGUAGCUGGUCUGAGAGGACGACCAGCCACACUGGGACUGAGACACGGCCCAG
rnacentral:rRNA from 1 species